GUUUUGUUUUUCUUUUCUGAUUUACCAGUUACCGAACGUCGUCUUCAUGUUGACAUGGCAAAAGACUAUACUAUGGAUUACCUUAUUCAUGAUUGUCAUUGUAAUUGUUUCGCAUAGCUAAAUGCUUCAUGAAGGGAAAAUGACCAUAAAAUGGGUUUGCUUGAUUUUCAUGGUAGUGCACUAAACCAUUUCUGUGAGUCACUCACUGAUAUCAAUACCAUAUGAUGAGUUGUCAUCAUGUAUGGCUAAUGAUUAGAAGUUAGACAUGAAUAGGUAUCGUCCUCACCUAAAUUUGGAUGUGCACAUGUCUGUUUCAGAAAGAAAGUUAAGGACAGUAGAAGAUGAGCACAUAAGCUCAGGCGUACCAGUGAUUUUAUAUCUACGUUGAUUGCAUCUGUUGGAAAAAUGGAAAAUUUAUUUAACAUUUGAUUUUAACUGAAUAGUCGUAUGUGUAAUAUUUUUCAAAUGCAAUCAUUGAUGUUGUAAAAUCUUUGAGAGUUGACUUGGCAUUGUUGUAAUCAUUGUAAAUUUUUUCAUUUUCUAACCAACGUUUUAACUCUUCGUAUACUCGCUUUUCCGAUUGCAUAAUAGUUAGCACAAAAACAAUUCUGU